UGGGGUUGGGGCAGUGUGGCUGU
rnacentral:miRNA from 1 species